UCGCCUUGGCACGCUCUCCUGCUCUCCUGGUCUACCCGCCUCUAGUUUCCUUCUUUCCCGCGUGGUUUUCCUUCCGGUUUGGUUCUCAAGCUCCAGAGCUAAUGGGAUCCAUUACUGUUCCACCAAUGUGCACCGGGCUCCAAUGAUGGGAGCGAGAACAAAACCCUUGGAGGCUCCCAGAGACGGAACCAUGACCCAAAAAACAAGCAUCGGGUAGAACGAGGCCCUACACGUAUGUAGCAGGUCCUGAGUUCAAAUCCCAGCAUCCACAUGAUGGCUCACAACCAACCGAAAUGAAAUCUGAUGCCUUCUUUUGGAGUGUCUGAAGACAGCUACAGUGAGCGAGCAGGGCUGGAGCGAGUAGAAAAAGUGUCUGAAGCCAGCUCUU